CUCGAGUAGGGCCCAAGCAAGCCAGGAAGGAAGAAGUAGCCAGAGUGGCCACCACUGUUCUCUGCAGCAGAAGACUCCUUGCUGCCCUGCCCAACCUAGCCCAGCAUUUGCCAGCUCUUCCCACCUCCUCUUCAAGAGCCAAUCAGGAGGGUGCACUUUGUUUAACCUUUAACCUUUUGGACUGGGCCUCAGCAACUCUCCAAAUUAAACUUUUUACCUCUCCCUUUGAAGUAAACUUUUGUUUUAGGCCAGCAACAACUUCCAACUGAACUUUUGACCUUCUGCUUGAAUUAAACUUUUGACCUGGACAUAAUAAUUCCCCAGACAAAACAUCUGAUCUGAUCAUACAAACUUAGUUUGAACCUUUAACCUUUUUGCAAACAGAAAACAACCACCCUGACCUCUGCACAACCAAGCUCAGUCAGAAAAUUAACACAUGCAACCACUUUACAACAAAAUAAAGUUUUAGUUCAGUCCUUCA